CCCCCCCCCCCCCCCCAUGGUAUGGCCAAUCAAUUUUUUAAUGCUAGAAAUAUUCUGGAUAACCCAGAUUAGACAUUUUUGUUCACACAGAGGGAAUUUUGUCGCCAUUGUUUCAUCAAGUCUGUAUACAGCUAUACACGUAAAAGUUGUAUUACAUCAUAAACCUCAUGUCAUGCGGUGUGUAUUUGAUCAAAUUUCAAUCUCUUUACUUUCUUUCUCUCUCUGUAUAUCUUUCUGUCUCUCCAAAUAUUUCUUUUGGUCUCCCUUUCCCUCUCUUCAUCUCUCUCUCUCUCUUUCUCCCUCUCUCUCUCUCUCAGAAUCCCUUUCUCUCUGCUUCUCUCUCAGUUCCCUUGCCUCUGCUUCUCUCUCUCUCUCUCUCUCUCUCUCUCUCUCUCUCUCUCUCUUUGUGUGUGUGUGUGUGUAUCCAUUUCUCUCUGCUUCUCUCUCAAAUCCCUUUCUCUCUGCUUUUCUCUCAGAUCCCUUGUAUCUGCUUCUCUCUCUCUCUCUCUCUCUCUCUCUCUCUCUCUCUCUCUCUCUCUCUCUCUCUCUCUCUCUUUGUGUGUGUGUGUGUGUAUCCAUUUCUCUCUGCUUCUCUCUCAAAUCCCUUUCUCUCACCUUCUCUCUCAGAUCCCUUGUCUCUGCUUCUCUCUCUCUCUCUCUCUCUCUCUCUCUCUCUCUCUCUCUCUCUGUAUCCUUCUCUCUGUAUCCUUCUCUCUCUGCUUCUCUCUGAAAUCCCUUCUCACUCUCUCUGUCUCUCUCUCUCUGUUUGUCUGUCUGUCUCUCUCUCUGUCUGUCUGUCUGUCUGUCUGUCUCUUUCUUUCUCUCUCUCUCUCUCUCUCUCUCUCUCUCUCUCUCUCUCUCUCUCUCUCUUUUUCUCUCUCUCUCUCUCAUGUUUAAGAGUAAGGAUAUAAUAUAAUUCCCCAUAAUACAGGUUAAAUGGAAAGAAUAAACAAUAUCCUCACAAUACAGGUUAAUUGAAAAAACCGCAAUGUCUUCAUAAUACAGGCUAAAUAUUAAAAAAAAAACCACGAAAAACAAUGUUCUCACAAUACUGGUUAAAUGUAAAAAAUGGCCUUACAAUACAAGUUAAAUGUAAAACAUGUCCUGACAAUGCAGGUUAAAUGUAAAAGUAAAAAAAAAAAUAAAAAAAAUAAAAAAAUAAAUAAAUAUAAUAAUAACGUCCCCACAAUACAGGUUGAAUGUAGAAAAUAAUUUCCUCACAAUACAGGUUAAUUGUGAAAUUAGAAAAGUUCUCACGAUACAGGUUGAAUGUAAAAAAAAAAAAAAAAAAAAAAAAAAAUCGUCCUCACAAUACAGGUUAAAUGUAGAAAAUAAUGUCCUCACAAUAUUUUAUUAGUCCCAUUAGGACAGUUCUAGUUGCAACAGAAAUGUUUUUGUUUUCAAACGGUGAGUCAAGGGAUGCUCUAGUGUAUAUAAAAAAUCGAGAGCACAAAACAAAGGGGAAACGUGUAUUAAAUAAUAAUACAUUUUGAUAAAAAAAAAAAAAAAAAAAAAAACCCAUCGAAAACCGGGAUUUAUCAUUUAUCUUCACACAUGAAAGAAAUAAAAGGAACACAAUUGCUAUAAUCAUCGGGAACGGUAUUAACAUGCACAAACUACUUUAUUCAUACCAAAAUUUCAAAUGAAUGAAUUUUUAUGAGGCGUAAAGGCUUAUUUUGGAAGAAAAAUCGAUGAAAAUGAGGAGAAUUAAUAUGAAACUCGUAAACAUUGAUUCUGGCACAAAAUGAGGUACUAUUUAUAUGAAACAGUUAAAGAAGUGAUGAUUAAUUCAUAAAAAUUAUUUAACAGUUUGAGAUUUUAAAAUCAUGAGUGUAUCAGUGGCGGAUUUAAGGGAUCGUAACCGCCCCCUUUAAAUUUUUCAAAAUUAAGGUAACUCAUGGUCUUUUCUUUAGAAAAUUGUAAACGAUAAAAGAAGCAAUAAUUUCUCCACUCUCGGAGUAAUAAAUGACAAAAUAUUUUGAUUUAUUUGAUUACUUUAAUUGGGAGAAUUUGCACACCCCCCCCCCCCCAACCGCCCCCCCCCCCCCCUUAAAACUUGCGUCAUUUUAUUAAUUUCACUUUUAUCCUAAAUAACAGAAAAUAGUAAAAAUAACUACUUAGGAGACAUAUUUCAAGCCCUAUAAAAUCUGUAAAAUCCAUGCAGGAGUUCAAAGCGCCCCCAGACCCCCUGCCUCAUAAACUUGCGCCCCCCCCCCCCCCUCCCUCCCUAACCGCAAUUCCUGGAUCCGUCCCUGUGUAUGAUCCCGUAGUCGUGUUUGCUCUGUUCGUUUGUUUGUCAGUCCGCAAAAUGUUUAACUUUGGCCAUAACAUUUGAAUGGUAAAUGACAGUAUUUUCACAUUUAAUAUGUGUAUUUUUUGUGACAAAACCUUUAGAUGGUACCAAACAUUUUGACAUUGUAACCUUGAUUAUUGAUCUACUUUUGUGUCCUUGAAAAAAAACUUGCUUAGGGUGUUGGGAUUUGCUUACGAGUUAGAAAAUUCACGCUACAUGUUAAGUAAUAAAUUGAAUCGGGUUCAUCAAAUUAGCCGGGGCGAGGGUAUUGUUUUUGACCAUUCCUCAUUUCUUUCUCUACAAAUAUCUAUAAAUUUCUUUGAGAAAUUUACAGUUCGGAUAGAAAAGCCAUUAACGCCACGUUUCCUAUCAGAAAAUUUGCUUAAAAUAUACAUUUCUUGUCGAAGUAAAAAGUAGGUGUUGUUGAGCGAAGACCGCGACUUGAUCAUUCGUGAUUAAGACUUGUAGAUUUAAACACCAAAUUUUCCUUUAAAAAAAUUAUUGUGUUGGGAUUAGUGUAGUCACGGCGACAUUUUUGAUGCACUCUUUUGCCACGCAUUGUUACAGUAAGUCAGUAAUUAUAGUGACACACAUCAUAUCGUAUAAAUGCGAAUUCAAAACACCCGAUUCAUCGGAUCUAUAUGUCACUGUGAUAAAGAAAUAAUAGCAAUAAAAAGACAAUAAUUACGCAUAGUGUUUUCUGUAAAUCAAAGAAUGUCUGUAAAUAUAAGCGGAAUGUAUAAACUGGGUGGUUUGCCGAGGGAAAUUUGUUAAUAAAAAAUAAUACAAUCUAAGUUGACAUACACAAUGUGGGGUACAAGUAGUAACAAAUCUGUUUUGAGAUUUAAGUAUGCAGUAUAAGGUAGUAAAACGUGAAUCUUCUACACAAUCUAUUAAAAGUGAUUGAUUGAUUAUUGUUUAACGUCCCUCUCGAAAAUACGUCACUUAUAUGGAGACGUCACCACUGCCGAUGAAGGGCUGCAAAAUUUAGGCCUAUAUACUCGGCGCUUAUGGCCUUUGAUCAUGGAGGGAUCUUUAUCAUGCCACACUUGCUGUGACACGGGGCCUCAAUUUUUUCGGUCUCAUCCGAAGGGCCGCCCCAUUUAUUCCCCCACGAGAACACAAUCUAAAGAACACAGUGAACAUAUUCUGUCUUCUAAUUCCUCUCCUUUGUAUCACCCCGUUUCUAUUUCUAAUUGGUAGUAUACCACUUCUUCAUAGUGCAAGUAAAGAUCUUAGAUAUUUUGGAAUGCUCGUGGAAAAUUAAUUUUCGGUUCUAAAAUUUGUUUUAAUAUCUCUAUAUAAACAUAACUUAAUAAUUGAUUUACUUUUACAUGUACUAGCCACUACUUCUUAUAGUUAUGAAGCAACUUGUUCUGAAAUCACCAGUGUCACACAAUAGUAAUCUAUUAUAUAUUUUCUAUAGAAUUCAAUCUUUGUAUAGAAUUUAAAGAUUUAGAUAAUGACUUCAUUUGUGAUGUCCAGUUAGACUUAUUAUAUUGAUUCACACAUGUUUAGUAAUGUUGUCCAUUGAUAAUAGACGAUUCCAGUAUCGUAUAGUUUAUACAGUGUCAGCGUUAAGGAUUCUUCCAUCCGAAUUCGCCAUACAUGUAGUGCAGGUGAAGGAAUGAAUCUGUGAUAAUGACGACGUUCGCGAUUCUGAACCAUCUCAAUGUUGUGGUAGUUUCGGAGACCCCAUACUACACUACAAUAGUUCAAAACGAGCUACACAAAUUAAGAAAAGUUUUUCGAAAGUUGAAAUUUCUAGGUCUUUGUAAAAACGAAUUUUCGAGACAAUGGAGUCAUUUCUGACGGCACUGGUCCUGUUCACAAUAUAUUGACUAUCACCACUACCUGAAAAUUACAAAGUCGAUGCAAUUCACUUGUGAGGGACAAAUACCCAAUGCUUGAAAAACAUUUGAUUUUACUAAAUCAGCUGGAAAUUAUUUUCAUGUAUGUACAAUUAGAAGCUAAGUUCAAGGUCGCUCGGUUUAUGGCCGCAUCAAACCUAAGACGCCAUUACUCUUUCACCAAACGCUCGACAUUUCGAAGUGAAAAUCACGGGUCUUUCGAAUAUGACCUUAAAAGUAUCGCGACAGACGUUGGCACGUUAAAGAAUCAUUACAAGUGGUAUUUCACUUUCAACUACAACCAAUCAAACAUUAUAUAAACGUUUGAAGGAGUAUUAAUUGAUAAGAGAUACGUUUUUGUUGUUCUUAUGUUUUUGCGACAUUUAACGCUAAACAUUAUCAACUAAUGGCAAAAACUGCUUUCCAUACUUUUUUGUUUGUUGUUAACGAGGGCUUAAAUAUUGAUAUGAUAUUUUUGUUUUGGGGAGAAGUUAGACUCCAAUAUUUUAUAUUUUUCAAAUUGUAGUUCUUUGAUUAUAUGAUCACUUGGUUUUAGAUGCUUUGGAACCGAUGUCUGUAAGAAUCAGACAUAAUAUGGAUAGUAUACAUAGAAUAUCGUAUAACGUUGAACUUCAUUAGGCCUAAUUAGCUUUUAUACAAAGUCAUUAUUUUUCGUAUGAAAAUAUAAUUAGUGGUAAAACAUUAACACAUGUCUGAAACAAACUAGCAUUUAAGAGGUUAAAAUUGACUUAGCAGUAUAAAUGCAGUACUACAAAGAGCGUCUACAUAACUUCAAUCACCUCCCUUGUAAACUCUUCUGCGUCUAUGGAAGCCAUGCCGUAACAAAGUUUAUGCUCUGAAAAUGUUCUAAUUUAAAUUAGCAAAUCGACGACUUUCCCCUCUCUCUAUUUUGCUCGAUUUUUUAUAUGAUCAUUAUAAGCAUAUUCCACUACAAGUUUCGCAAAAACCAUUUCUGUUGCAAUUAGUUUGAGGUAAAAGAGUAGAAUGACUGGACUAAACGCUCAACAUUUGGUGUGAAUGUCACGGGUCCUCGGAGAUGACCUUAAAACGGAUGACCCGUGUCACAGUAGGUGUGGCACGCCAAAGAACCCUCACUGUUCAAUGGCCGUAUGCGCCGAGAAUAGGCCUAAAUUUGAAGCCCUUCACCGGUAUUGGUGACGUCUCCAAAUGAGUGAAAACUUCUCGAGGAAGACGUUAAACAAGAUACAAUCAAUCAAUCAAUCAUACAAUAAGGUAACUCCAUACGCGCAGUAUUAUCUGAUCAAAGUUUAAAAUGUUUUUUUCUAUUUCAGUUUAUUAAAGUUAAAACUAAUAACUUAUCAAAAAAAUAUUUAGGCCAUCCCACCUUUUAAGAUGCGAGACAUGCAUAUACAAAAUUAUAUAUAUCAACGUCAGAAAAUUGCAUUUUUUCUUCAACAGCAUUAUUGAAAUUUCACACACCAAAAAAAAAAAAAAAAAAUGGUUAAAACGACAUACUAGUAUUCACAAUAAUUUCAUGAAACUGUUUCGCCACAAAACUGUUCAAAAUUUCUGUAAAAAAAAUCAAGAAAAUAUAUCGCAUAAUUAACUUGAUAAAAUAUUAAAUGAAAACAGAGAUAUUUCCCUUCAAUAUUUUGAAACAUAUUAUUGAUUAUUUAAAUAUAAGUUAGACUUUUGAAAUAUUUUAUGUUUAACAAGAUUUUUUACAAUAACAAUUGGAAUAAACUCCAAGAAAAUGUAUGUUCCUAUCAUGCAUAAAUCUAGAUAAAUCCUUGAUUUUGGAAAAUCUUAUGACAUCACAGGAGGGCGGAACUACGUUAAAUGUAUAAAAAAAAAAAAAGAAAAAAAAAAAAAAAAAGAAG